UUUGCUAGUUACAUAGUUAUUUUGUAAAGUGAACAGGCAAGCUCACCUAAAUUAGAAUUGUAUGCCCACCUGUGAUCAAUUUUUCUGAAGCACAGCCCUUCUGUUACAGGACCUGGGUGAUGGAACACUGUCAUGCAUGUUGUGUUACGGCUGGUCGUUCUUUGUGUUUCUGUGUGAUCUGAAUCAGGAUGAAUGAAAUCGAGUGAAGGAGCACUGACUUUAGCUGGAGCAUCAUCCGGUGAGUUAGAACAGACUGUAGAGCUCACCUGUGGAGCUUUCAGAGGUGGGAAGCAUGGAAAUCCAGUGUGGGCAGAGCUGGAGUUAAUGAUGAAUGCCCGUUCUUCACAUGAAGCAAGCCACAAACCUCCACAUGAGCUCUGGGCAGAUCAGGCUGUGACAGAGACGCUUUCUGCCAAGAAAACAUAGGCCUACGUUUCCAAAUCUUGGUAUUCUGGUUUUGUGACACCAACUGGUUAUUCGACCUCAGUCAAGUUUCUUGCUGUCCUAAGCCUCAGUCGCUGGUACACUCAUCACUGUGAUGCCCAGGGAAGAUGACUUGGAAACCCAAGGACUUCCAUAAGAUCGUCCAACUUCUGACAAAACGGCUUUUUGUGAGGACAGGAAACAUGUAAACACCUCGCUUCCCUUUAAGAAAAAGAAAGGAAGAUGGAAAAAGUCAUCAGCUCAUGUACAGAGAAGCUGGCAAGUGAAUGCAAAUGAGGCAACUGUUGUGUAAAACCUAAAAUACACCCGUUGUGCAGAAAUCUUAAUCUUCAAUACUGUGUACGUGAGCCCGUCUUGACAGCCCAGGACUUGAAUCCAUUUUGAAAAAC
rnacentral:lncRNA from 1 species